GUGUCAAUGAGCCCUUUAAAACCACCUGUCUCUUAACUGGAUCUUUCCCUGAUUUUAGGGUGUGUAUGGGCAGGUGAUGCCUUUAAGCAAGCUGAACUGGUUUUUAACUGGUUUUCUGCAGGGGGAAUUUCCUUGGAUUUUGAAGCUGUAUGUAGGCGUUAGGUGGAAAACAAGACACCUAAACCCUUCCUUGCCUUCCACUGUUAUAGAAUCCAGAAAUGUAGGUCUGCUCUUAAAAGCCUCCAAUGUUGGGGAUUCCGCAACCUCCCUUGGAAGUCUAUUCCAGAGCUUAAUUAGCCUUAUAGGUAGAAAGUGUUUCCUAGUAUCUAACCUAAAUCUCCCUCAAUGCAGAUUAAGCUGAUUACUUGGAGAACAUGAACAUGGAGAACGAUUGAGCGCCAUCCUGCAACAACCCUAACAUAUGUGAAAACUGUUCUCAGGUCCCCCUGUGUGUCACUCACAAUUGGACACAGUUCUCCGGCUGAGGCCUCACCAGUGCUAAGCAGAUUGGCACAAUUACCUCCCAUGUUUUAGACCAAUUCUCCAAUUUAUCAAGGCCAUUUUGAAUUCUAAUCUUGCCCUCCGAAGUGCUGGUAACCUCUCCUGGCUUGGUGUCAUCUGGAAAUUUUGUGCAUUACCUUUGACGACACAGAGACGUGGAUAGAAGGUCGGAUCAACAGUAUUUUGUAAUCUAAAGAGUAGAAAGUAUCAGAGGGGUAGCCGCGUUAGUCUGGAUCUGUAAAAGCGGCAAAGAGUCCUGUGUCACCUUAUAGACUAACAAACAUAUUGGAGCAUGAGCUUUCGUGGGUGAAUACUCACUUCAUUGGAUGCAUGUCAGAGUAAAAACUGUUUCAUUAUAUUUUCUUGGGAGAAUGGAAAAAUGCCGUGCAGAAGAAGAAAAAAAAAACAGCCUCAGAAAGAUUAGAAGUGUAGCAGGAAACUUCUAAAAUGUGGUAAGAAAGAACAGAAAG